GGAACCAAAUCAAGCACAACACCUGUUAACGCAGAGGCGUAGCCAGGAAUUCUUCCAGUAGGGGCGCACGCCCACAGGAAAAAAAAUCUAACAUCACCCACGCCGUUUGCUGAUCGCUAAAACAACAUCCGGGUCAGGGAGGCAAACGGUGAAUGGAUAACAUCGCGCACAUAGAAUAGCGCAAGCACAUUCGCGCAAGACCGAAAGAAAAAAACGGCAUGAAAAUGAAGAAUCGAAUUUUUUUCAACCCGGACGCAGGGAGUCCGAACCGGGCCGCCGCCCCGGCUCACCCCGGCUUGGCUACGCCUCUGGGUCAACGACUCACACACGCUUUCUUGUUACAUCUGCUGCUAUUUGAGCUUGGAAAUGCCGGAAACCUGCUGUGCUGUUGGAUGUAGCAAUAGACGAGGCGAUAAACCAAAUCUUAGCUUCUAUAGAUUUCCGGCAAACAUCAAAAAACGCGAUAAAUGGAUCGCGGCGAUUCGUCGUGAUCGAUGGAAACCUACGAUUUACACAAGGAUAUGCAAUGAGCACUUCAUAUCAGUACUGUGGAACAGGAGGUCCAGAAAGGGAGGAUAUCUCAAGGCCGAUGGGAACACGAAAAACAACUCGUCUUUGUGGUCCAGACACCUGUGCUGGGCAGGGGAAAAACCCAAACGAGGAGGAGAUGACCAUCGACCAUCGACCAAUCACCACACAAUCUUUUGCAUGUUUGAAUAUUCAUAUUGUGUUUCUUUAAAACUGGGCAACCCGGAAGAAUGUGUCGUCUUUCUGGUCACGAAGGCACACGAGUUUUUGUGUUAAGGACCCAAAGACCCAGGCGCCUGUAUUAGCUUGCUUUGUCAGGAUUAAACAAUUGGUAAAUUCGGUCUGAUUGAUCUACUGGUCUUCUCUUUGACAGAACGAACUCGCAAAAUUGUUAGGUGCGCCAGUGUGUGGAUUAGAACAUAGCAAUUCUUGUGUUAAGUGUUGAUCACAAUUUGGAGUCAGAUCAAUAGCUAAAAUCCGUAACCUAACAAGUUCAACCCCCCGUUUUUAUUUUUUGUUUAUUUUUUCAUGAUGCUUCAUCUGAUUGGCUUGAAAACGUUAUCAAUGUAAAUAUUGAACUUCAUAUUGGAAUUGAACAAUUAAUUCUCAUGAGUGAAUUCAUGAGCCAAGCUCAGCCCGGCUUGGCUACGCCUCUGGGUCAACGACUCACACACGCUUUCUUGUUACAUCUGCUGCUAUUUGAGCUUGGAAAUGCCGGAAACCUGCUGUGCUGUUGGAUGUAGCAAUAGACGAGGCGAUAAACCAAAUCUUAGCUUCUAUAGAUUUCAGGCAAACAUCAAAAAACGCGAUAAAUGGAUCGCGGCGAUUCGUCGUGAUCGAUGGAAACCUACGAUUUACACAAGGAUAUGCAAUGAGCACUUCAUAUCAGGUGCAAAAAGCGAAGAUCCACUAUCCCCAGACUAUGUGCCAAGUAUAUUUGAGCAUACCCAGUCACCUCACAAACGAAAACUCAAAUGUUCAAUGAAGAUCUUUGAGAGAAGACAAAAUCUCAAGCAGCGCAAGAGAGACCGCAAGAGGGCAUUGGCAGCAGCAGCAGCAGCAGUUGUCAAUAUUUCCCAGUCUGUCCCUUGUGAAAAUGAUCAACUACCCACUGGUGAAGAUGUGGUGCACGCUGAGAUUCGAAAAGAAGGCAUGGUGACUACUGCCACACAGACUGAUAUCACUGGGGAAGCAAUGGAUUCCCUCACUGCAGAGUGUAAAAGUUUGCGUGCAGAACUUGAUGAACUGAAGGACAGUUUGAAACGCUGUACAUGUACAGCUGUGAGAGAGGUACAGGAAGCUUUCGCUUCACUGCCCUUGGCACAAAGUUGUCAGCAUAGUCAGGGACAAUGCUCAGAAUUGCUGGUCUUCCACCGCAUUCAGACAAAGCCUUGUAAAAGGCAGCUUUCUGCUCUUCAGUUGGUGGAGGAACAUUCAGUUCCACAGUUCUGUCGCAGCACUUUCCUCAGGAGUUGAAACUUCUGACCUUCGUUUCUGGGCUGGACGGGCAAAAUCGAUAUUGCAUCCAUGUCUGUAUUUCUGUCUACACGCGCUUCUUGUGCUAUUGCAGCCAACCGGCAGCUUCUUCUUCUUCCUUUUGAGAUAUUUUUUAGGCGGUUGGCAAACAAUUAAGUGGCGCAUUUCUCCACCUAUUGGUUAGGAGUGUGCACGUCACGUCGUCAGUGGAGCGACAACUUUGAAAUAACUAGAUUGUGCAACCCAACAGAUUUUCAAACGGCGUCUUUGACGGUUAAACGUCAGAAAUUUCUCCACCAAUUGGUUAGGAGUGUGCACGUCACGUCGUCAGUGGAGCGAUAACUUUGAAAUAACUGUAGAUUGUGCAACCCAACAGAUUUUCAAACGGCGUCUUUGACGGUUAAACGUCAGAAAUGUGGGUAUUGUAGUGCUUUCUCUACUGAUGACAUAAUUCACUUAAUCAUAUGUGUGUUCUGUUAAAUGUUAUGCUGUGGUCCGGCUAUCGGAGUGGUGCGGAGAGAACAAUCUGCUCCUAAACACGGCUAAAACCCAAGGACUGGUCAUUGAUUUUAGGAGGAAAAAUAAAACGGACAUUCCACCACUUAUCAUCAACGGGGUCUGUGUGGAGAGGGUGUCCUCCUUCCGCUACCUGGGUGUCCACAUCGAGGAGGACUUCACCUGGGGCGUGAACACCUCUGAGCUGCUUAAAAAGGCCCAGCAGAGACUCUACUUCUUAAGGGUGCUGAGGAGGCACAGCAUUACACAAA